UUCCUGAAUUGAAGAAAAUGCAUAUUCCUUAAAAUGGUGUUUGGUUUGCCAGGGCCAGGGGCCUGUCCCUCUUCAUGUACCUGAAGAAUUCUGGCACUGUCCCCUCAGUAGUGGCUAAUUCAUCUUCUGGGCUUGCCAUCACCAGCUGAGAUACUAAGGAACUCAGUUGCUUGGAGACCUGCAUCUUUCUACCUGUGCUCAAAGCAG